CUGCGCGAAACAAUUAGUGUUUACAUAGUUUCUACUAUGAAUUUUUUAACCACGUAAAAUAAUUAGAUCCAAACUAUAAAUCUCAGAUAUAUAAGUUAUGUGAUGAGAUAUAGAAACAACGUAUCCCAAACAAGUCUACCGUAAAGGGGUUUCAAUUCCGAAUGACGGGGAAAUAUAUAGCUAUGAAGGAGGAUGGAAUGGCGACAUUGCCACGGUCGAAUUCUAUUACCAUAAUAUAGGCCAUGGUUGCUGGUCCCGACAAUAAUGACAGAUCCUACACUGUUUGAGGAAUUAUAAUUACAAAGAACAUACACUUAUACUAAUUAUAAUUACACAGAGCAGAUACUUGAAGUAAAGUUAUCCCUUGUGAUAAUUUAUCUUAAAUUUUUUUUAAUAAAUAUAAUUCACUGAUAGAAUCUUUAUAGUCAAUUGCAGACU
rnacentral:lncRNA from 1 species